rnacentral:rRNA from 1 species
AUUGAACGCUGGCGGCAGGCCUAACACAUGCAAGUCGAGCGAGCGGCGGACGGGUGAGUAAUGUAUGGGGACUGCCCGAUAGAGGGGGAUAACUACUGGAAACGGUGGCUAAUACCGCAUACUAUCGGAUAACCCAUAUGGGAUUAGCUAGUAGGUGGGGUAAAGGCUCACCUAGGCGACGAUCUCUAGCUGGUCUGAGAGGAUGAUCAGCCACACUGGGACUGAGACACGGCCCAGACUCCUACGGAGGCAGCAGUGGGGAAUCUUCGGCAAUGGGCGAAAGUCUGAUCGAGCCACGCCGCGUGAGUGAAGAAGGUUUUCGGGUCGUAAAGUUCUGUUGUUAGAGAGGCGUUAUCUGCCCAGGAAGCCCCGGCUAACUACGUGCCAGCAGCCGCGGUAAUAC